GCCAGGCAAGGUGGUGCACACCUGUCAUCCCAGCAGCCUGGGAGGCUGAGGCAGGAGGAUCGCCGGUUCAAAGCCAGCCUCAGUAACAGCGAGGCCCUAAGCAACUCAGUGAGACCCAGUCUCUA
rnacentral:sRNA from 1 species